rnacentral:tRNA from 1 species
GCGCCCGUAGCUCAACUGGAUAGAGCAUCAGCCUUCUAAGCUGGCGGUUGCAGGUUCGAGUCCUGCCGGGCGCGCCA